UACGUAGGGUGCAAGCGUUAAUCGGAAUUACUGGGCGUAAAGCGUGCGCAGGCGGUUAUUUAAGACAGGCGUGAAAGCCCCGGGCUCAACCUGGGAGGUGCGCUUGUGACUGGAUAGCUAGAGUACGGCAGAGGGGAGUAAAAUUCCACGUAUAACAGUGAAAUGCAUAAAAAUAUGGAGGAACACCGAUGGCGAAAACAGCCCCCUGGGCUAGUACUGACGCUCAGGCACGAAAGCGUGGGGAGCAAACAGG
rnacentral:rRNA from 1 species